AACACACCCUUGAACACAAAGUCUGAUGUUUAAGAGGGCACAUAAACAGAUUUUAAAAACCUGAUUUUAUGACUGAAAACUAGGAAUAACAGUUCCAGUGUUAUAAUCCAAAUUACCAUAAGGGAGAAUCUCCUAGACUACCACAUUUCAGCUUGUCUGCUGAGCGACAGCCCUUUGCGCACUCAGUCCUGACCAGCUAGGCAAAGCACAAAGCGAGGGCCCUCCUUUAGAGCCUUCUUGGCAAGAUGGGCCAUGGAAGGAAUACUUCCCUUAGCCACGGGGGCUAUGGUGGAUCUGCUCAAAUACAAUCCCAUGAAACAGGAUGUUUUAAAAACAGUCAUCAUGAUUUUCAAGGCUCUUGGUUGUGAUUGACAGAAAUUCAACUCCUGCCCACAUCCUUGCCUAGCUCACAGCCUCACUUCAUUCACGUCUCUGCUCAAAUGGCCCUUGGCAGAAAGUCCUCCCUUGUCACCUCCAUUCCAAAUAACCUCCUCCGUCUUCGCUCUAUCCGCUUACGCUGAUUUGCUUUUUUUAUUCAUAGCACUUGUCCCUAUGGGACAUUGAUAUCUAUGGAGCUUACAGUCUAGUGGGAGACACAACACAACUAAUUCACAUAUAUAAUUGGCAGUUUCCCACACCAGAUUGUAAGCUCCAUGAGGGCAGAGGGCUUUGUCUUUUCUAUUAACUUCCACAGCCUCAGCCCUGGAGCAGUGCUUGCCACACAGUAGUUGCUCAGUAAAUGUUUGUAGAACAAAGAGAAGAGGAGACUCAAUUGGCAUCUGAAUCCAAACCGUCGCAAAAGGGAGGAAUAACAAGAACUGGGGACUUAAAUGUACCCAGGGCUCACUUCGAUCAUCUGUAUGCCAUUCUAUCUGGUGUCCCCUUCAUGCUCUCAAUGAUCCACAUAACGGCUGCCUUUGAAGCGCCAGGCUUACCUUAUCACAACUCCACAACCAGAGGGCAAGGGGUUUCUCUCUCUCAGUUCCAGGUCACAGCACCCCGGUUUUUCAGAUUCAGGAAGGAUGCUAGACACUGGGAACACUGAGCUUUGAGCUGAGGAGGAAUUUUCUAGCUGGUACCUUCCUGAAGAAAGUGAAGCACAAGCUAGACUCCUUCUCCAACAAAAAUAACCCAGAAGUUUGGUGCCUGAGGAUUGUUAAAGCCAAGGGCUACACUGCCCACCCUUCUCCACCAUCCCCUGAUAGAAUCAAUGCUCAGAGUAACCUUGGAAGCCAUGUUUUGGAGAUUUUAGAGCCUUCUUCAACCUGAAGUCCUGAAUGACUAUGAGAACAGAGGCCCCCAUCGCCAACUCCCUGUACUAACUGUACUUUUUACGAUCAAGAAAUAAACUUCUGUCUUGCUAAACUACUAA
rnacentral:lncRNA from 1 species